rnacentral:rRNA from 1 species
GACGAACGCUGGCGGCGUGCUUAACACAUGCAAGUCGAACGAGACGAUUGAAAGCUUGCUUUUGAAAGUCGAGUGGCAAACGGGUGAGUAACGCGUAGACAACCUGCCUUUGAGAUGGGGACAACAGUUCGAAAGGACUGCUAAUACCGAAUGUUGUAUAUUUUCCACAUGGAAGAUAUAUUAAAGAUGGCCUCUAUUUAUAAGCUAUAGCUCAAAGAUGGGUCUGCGUCUGAUUAGCUGGUUGGUGGGGUAACGGCCUACAAAGGCGAUGAUAAAGAGCCGGUCUGAGAGGAUGAACGGCCACAUUGGGACGGAGACACGGCCCAGAGUCCUACGGGAGGCAGCAGUGGGGAAUCUUCCACAAUGGACGAAAGUCUGAUGGAGCAACGCCGCGUGAGUGAAGAAGGGUUUCGGCCCGUAAAGCUCUGUUGUCGGGGACGAAUGUGCAGUAUUUGAAUAAAGUACUGUAAUGACGGUACCUGACGAGGAAGCCACGGCUAACUACGUGCCAGCAGCCGCCGCCG